rnacentral:rRNA from 1 species
CUGCCGGCGACCGGCGCACGGGUGAGUAACACGUAUGGAACCUGCCCGCAGCAGGGGGAUAAGCGGAAGAAAUUCCGUCUAAUACCGCGUAACAACCCGAGGAGGCAUCUCCUCGGGUUUAAAGGAAGCGAUUCCGGCUACGGAUGGUCAUGCGUCGCAUUAGCUAGUUGGCGGGGUAACGGCCCACCAAGGCGACGAUGCGUAGGGGUUCUGAGAGAAGGUCCCCCACACUGGUACUGAGACACGGACCAGACUCCUACGGGAGGCAGCAG